rnacentral:misc_RNA from 1 species
UUUUUUUUGAUGUAUACAUUUUUUGUCUAGAUCGUUAAUCUGUAACUGCGUGUAAUCUUUAACUGUGUGCUUGUGCCACCGGCUCAUGUGUCCCCCCUUCUCGCGCCACUUUGGAAGUUGCUCGGCGAAACUAAGACAUACCACAGCUUGGACUUCUUUGUCUUGUUUGCGAAUGCUCCAACUGUGGCUCAAAAGCCAAGAAUAUUUUUAACAACCUCCAUUUCCACCAUUGGAUUUUCAACGGUUCCUGCCUGAUGUUAGUCUUUCUAAUGAUAUUUACUGUGAUAGUGUAGUAUCGAUGGCAACGUUUUCCGUUUCUCCGCUUCUAAUG